CGGUAUAGCUCAGUCGGUAGAGCAACUGACUUGUAAUCAGUAGGUCCCGGGUUCGACUCCUGGUGCC
rnacentral:tRNA from 1 species